UCGAGAGUUUGAUCCUGGCUCAGGAUGAACGCUAGCGGCAGGCUUAACACAUGCAAGUCGAGGGGUAUAGUUCUUCGGAACUAGAGACCGGCGCACGGGUGCGUAACGCGUAUGCAAUCUACCUUUUACAGAGGGAUAGCCCAGAGAAAUUUGGAUUAAUACCUCAUAGUAUGUGAGAAUCGCAUUGGUUUUUCACAUUAAAGUUCCGAACGGUAAAAGAUGAGCAUGCGUCCCAUUAGCUAGAUGGUAAGGUAACCGGCUUACCAU
rnacentral:rRNA from 1 species